AUUGAACGCUGGCGGCAUGCUUUACACAUGCAAGUCGAACGGUAACAGGCCGCAAGGUGCUGACGAGUGGCGAACGGGUGAGUAAUGCAUCGGAACGUGCCCAGUCGUGGGGGAUAACGCAGCGAAAGCUGUGCUAAUACCGCAUACGAUCUAUGGAUGAAAGCGGGGGACCGUAAGGCCUCGCGCGAUUGGACCGGCCGAUGUCAGAUUAGGUAGUUGGGGGGGUAAAGGCUCACCAAGACAACGAUCUGUAGCUGGUCUGAGAGGACGACCAGCCACACUGGGACUGAGACACGGCCCAGACUCCUACGGGAGGCAGCAGUGGGGAAUUUUGGACAAUGGGCGCAAGCCUGAUCCAGCAAUGCCGCGUGCAGGAAGAAUGCCUUCGGGUUGUAAACUGCUUUUGUACGGAACGAAAAGGUUUGGGUUAAUACCCUGGGCCGAUGACGGUACCGUAAGAAUAAGCACCGGCUAACUACGUGCCAGCCGCCGCCGUAA
rnacentral:rRNA from 1 species